GAAAUGCGUUAACUAGUGUGAAUUGCAGAAUUCCGUGAAUCAUCGAGUCUUUGAACGCACAUUGCGCCCCCUGGUAUUCCGGGGGGCAUGCCUGUCCGAGCGUCAUUGCUGCCCAUCAAGCACGGCUUGUGUGUUGGGUCGUCGUCCCCUCUCCGGGGGGGACGGGCCCCAAAGGCAGCGGCGGCACCGCGUCCGAUCCUCGAGCGUAUGGGGCUUUGUCACCCGCUCUGUAGGCCCGGCCGGCGCUUGCCGAACGCAAAUCAAUCUUUUUCCAGGUUGACCUCGGAUCAGGUAGGGAUACCCGCUGAACUUAAGC
rnacentral:misc_RNA from 1 species